AUUAAACAUCACUUUGCUGACUUUUUUUUGACAGUUAUGUUUGGCUCUAUCCUAGGUCUCAGAGAAGCUAAGUGACAAGGAGAGCUCAAGGGGGGAACAUGAGUCUCUCUGGGAAAGGCUUCUAUGAGUUGACUGGUCUGUGCUUGGAUGAUGAUGAUGAUGAUGAUGAUGAUGACGACGACGACGACGACGACGACAACAACAGCGGUGGCGGUGGCGGCAGCGGCGGCGGCGGCGGUGGUGAUGGUGGUGGUGGUCAUGAUGGUGGUGGUGGUGAUAAUGAAGAAGAUGAUUAUUAUCAUCAUCAGCUGUCAGUUUAAAUUCAGUUGUCACCUAAAGUAGAAGCCAUCUGAAGCCUUGACUGGGCAGUGUGUGCAGAUCAGUCUUCUAUGUGUAGACCCAAUACCAGGAUGAGGAUAAGUUGUUGACUGGGCUUGGCUAGGUUUGUACACUUGAGGUUACUGAUGUACUCUCCUAAUCUCAUGGCCCUAGAAUAUUCAUGCUACUUCUGUGGUCUUUGGGGCUGUAGACAAAAGCUUCCAAGUCUUUUUGUGCUAUACUUCAGAAGUCACACAAGUGCUACUUUCCCAUCCUAUUGAAUCAGUCCAGGCAUAUUCAAGAGCAGUGCGUGGUUCUGGAAGGCAUUGCUCUUUGAGAAUCAUCUUUCCAAAGGGUUUAUAUAGAUAGCACAUGUAGUGUUAUGUGAGAUAUAAAGUAAAGAUUUUAGGAAUUGCUAAAUCUUGUUCUCAGCAAGCUAGUAAUAGGGACCAGUUAGUGUCUAGUAUCCAACUUUGUCAGAAUGACUACGUGUAUCUACCAAAGUCAUUAACUUAGCACUUUGGUUUUAAUUCUCUCUUUCUGAGAGUAGACAGUUCACUCUAAGGUAGAACAUUUUAUCCAUACAUGCAUUUGAGAACUUGUUUCAACAAUAACAAAACCACACUUAAUCAUUGAAAGUAAGGUAAGCAUGUGUCAGUCAACCUUUACCAAGGCUAUGCAAUUUAGGGCUGUCAGCUUGCCAAUCAGUUGGGCUUCACUCAUAUUACCUAGCCCCACAAUGAGGAGCUUGAAGGGGGGCGGAUGAUACUUAAGUCAUCAUUUCUGUCCUUGACAAGCAAUAAAGUUUAGAAACUAAUGCUAAUAAGCAAGGAGUAACUAGAAGCUAUGCUAAGUAGAAGCUUAACAUUCAGGAAGAGAAAGUUUAACAUUGUAGAUGGAGAAUAAAAAGUAUAGACCUCUAAAUAUUUCCAUAGAUUUUAUGAAUUCAUAUAUCUUCCAUCGUUUGAACUAUAGGACUUUAGGUUUUAGGGAGGAGCGGUUUGUUGGGUAUUUUUUUUCUGACUCUCAUUAUGUCUGGCACUCGGGAUAACUUUUGGGAUAAAGCACCAGUCACUGGCAUCUUCAUUUAUAAUCUAACUGAGACUUUCUGUAUAGACAAGCCUACAUGUGGAUUGAUGUGUGGAAGAGAAGUAAUUUAAUGUCAUGGUCACUUACUCCAGGUUGAUGGUUGUUGAUGGAAGACAAAGCAUUUUCUUUUUAAAGUGCACAAGAAACUGAACAGUGCCCAGAAAUGUAAAUCAAUCGCUGGACCAAAAAUGAAUUAAACUCCUCUAUAGGAUGAGCUAGUUUCUCAACCACAAAAAUAAGAAUGAGUUCCUGCCCUUUGGAGUUUCAGUCUGGCCAAAAUCAUGUGCAAGUAGAUAAUUCUGCCACUGUAGAGACUCUGCAAAAGAGAGGGAAGCAUCGUGCUAUAGGACAGAAUGGCCCAAUGGACCAAGAGAGUCAUGAGGAUUUCAGAGAACAGGAACAUCUCGGUAGCCCUUAAAGGUUCAGUAGACUGUUGCCCAGCAAUGGAAGGGAGGAGCUUAUUCUGAAGGUUGUCUAUCACAGCUAUGGAAUGCUAGAAGGACCCAGGGUGUGCACAGGAGUUGGGUGUACUGCGGAGUGCAUAGCGUUUGUGAUGCAAGUGGGAAAAUUGAAGUCACAAGCCAGAAACUAGGCGUAUUUUUGUGCUUUGCCUCACUUAGAAGUGUGGUUUGGAUAGUGAGUUGCUUAGCACAUGAAGAGAGGCCCUGGCAGUUUGAAGAGGUCCAGCUGCUAGUGAAUGGAAGCUAUGCCAGCAUUUCAAAACUGGCCUAAGAGUUCCUGCAUCUGAAGGAUUCAUUUAGGUAAACAAAGGAAAAGUAGGACAGAAAUACCUCUAGGCCAAGGGAUGUAAGUCCUAGUGUAGGGUAAGCAACAGGCACUCUAGGGGCAUGUCGAGAUACCUGUCACCUGUCAUUAGUCCUGGGGACUGACCCAAAAUGGUGGGACUCCCAGACCAUCAAGAUAGCAGGGUUACUUGGAAGGCUUCGAUCAUUGAGGCACAAUUUAAGGGUCUAGGUUUCAGACAAGUCAAACUCCAAUGAAGUGAAUAUGACAGUAUAGAGACCCCUCAGUUAACAUUAUUCAUAAUUGCAUUCUUGAAAGAUUAGUCUUGGGGUAUAUCUAAAGACUAGACCUCAAAACAGACUUUAAGACUGUUAAGACAAAUUUUUCAAAGGCAACAGAAUUAGUUAGAGUGUUCUGGAAAAAAGGAACAAGGAGAUGUAUAAAAUGAUAUUUAUUUAAGGAAAUGGACUCACACUGUUAUGGGAACUAGGAAGUUCAAGAUCAGUGGAUGGGGUGGUGGGUUGGAGAAGAGGCAACAAACAAUGUUGAGUUUAAAUCCAAAGGCCAGAUUCUGGUAGAAUUUCUACUGGCUUCAGGAUGUAUAGGUGACCUGACUUGUGUUCUACUCAAAUUUUUAUUUUAUUGUAGAAGGCUCAUUUAUAUUAUGGGAGAUACUUUUUAAGAUUAAUAUAAAUGUUAACCUUUCCUCAUAUAUCUUUACAGAAAUAUGCAAAAUAGAUUUUUGAUCAAAACAUCUGGGAAAUAAAAUCCAUUUAUAUAUAUAUUUAUAUUUAUAUAUAUACAUAUAUAUAAUUAGUCAUUAAUGUAAUCAAACUAUUAAUGAACAGAAAUAUUAAGCAUCUAAUUUUUUAUGAAUAAGCUUAACAUAUUUGUCAUACAAAUAAGAAAUUAAGGAGUCAAGUUAAUUUCAUGUAUUAGGUUUCCUAUCAUUCAUGAUAGAGCCAAUAAUUUAAGAGGUUCUGGUGAGUGCAUGCGUGUGUGUGUGUGUGUGUGUGUGUGUGUAGUGCACACAUGUGAGUAUGUGAGUGUGUGUUCCCAUGCUUGAGCAGGUGAGGCCAAAUUAGGGUGUCAGUUUUCCUCCUGUUUUGAUCCUCACCUUAUUUCUGGAAGUCAGAGCCCCUCACUGUUUCUGAAGCUUGCCUUUUUGAUGAGAUUUGUUGACCAGAGGGCUCUUAGAAUCCACGAAUUGCACCAUGUAUCCCACAGGGCUGUGGAUCUGGGCAACAUGGCCCAGUCCUAUGGCUUUUUUUUUUUUUAAUGUAGGUGGGAGAUUUGAACUCAUGGUCCUAGUGCUUACAGAAUAAGAGCUCUUACUGAGCCAUUUCCUCAACUCCUCAACCAUAUCUUACCCCUAUUGUCUCUCUUGUUUCCCUAACCCUCAGUCAAGCUCUUUUCAUUUUCCUCUACCUUUUGAUGUAGAUACUCAAUGCUCCCCUUUCCCACAGAAUUUAAUGCCUGUAAAGACCAGAACCAAAGUAUACUUUUCUCCAUUGUUGUUGCCUUGUGCUCUGUUCAUAAUAGUGCUUAAUGAACAUCUGUUUAUAAUGUAGUACAGCUUGUGAAAAAAAGAGACCAUCAUUGUUCUUCUAUACCCAAAGGAAUCAUAAUAUAGGAUUCUCAAGAAAAUUUAAUUUUUAAAUGGUAAAAACAUCCCAUGACAAAACCAUUAAAGUCAUUGGCAAUAGUCAACUAACCUAACUCUAUUAAAAUAAAAAAGUUAUUGUUUGUAUACUUGUUACAUUUAAUUAACUUUUCAUUUUUUAAAUUCUGUUAAAAGAAAAACAAUGUACAUGCACAGCAAGACAAAUGUAAUUUAAAGAAAUGAAAUAAAAUACAAAAGACUUUCUUA